UAUAUAUAUAUAUAUGAAUGAAUGCAUGAAUAAAUAAAUAAAUAAAUAUUAUAUUGUAAUAAAUAAAAUAGUUAUAAAUAAAUAAAUAAACCCAUUGCAGUCAGGGCCCCUCCUGUGGCCACCAUGGCCCGACACCUUUCUAGCGCCACGGGCCUCACAGGAGGAGAAAAUAGAAGAAAAUAAAAAAAGAAAGAAAAGAAAAGCAGAAAAGGAAAGAAAAAGAAGAAAACAAAAAAUAAAAAAAAGAAAAAAAGAAAAAUAGUUAGGUAAGCUUGGCACCAAAUGCAUGGCACACAUUUAGGUAAGCUUGGCACGCAGUUAAUCAAUAUUUGAACACUAGGACACAGUUAAAUUUUCUCGGGACAGUUAAAUAAGCUUGAAACACACAUAAUCUAGUCUAGCACAGAGUUAAAUCUUUUUGGUACACAGUUAAAUAAGCUUAAUUGUGUACUAAAAAGACUUAACUGUGUGUAAAGAAGAUUUAACUGUGUGCAGAACAAACUUAAUUGUAUACUAAAAAGACUUAACUGUAUGCAGAAAAGAUUUAACUAUGUUCCAAAAUGAUUUAACUGUAUGCUAGACUAGAUUAAGUGUAUUCCAAGCUUAUUUAACUGUGUGCCAGAUUAGAUUAAGUGUUCAAACAUUGAUUAGCUACAUGUCAAACUUACUUAAAUGUGUGCCACGUGUUUGGUGCCAAGCUUACUUAACUAUUUUUCUUUUCUUUCUUUUUUUUCUUCUUUUCUUUUCUUUUCUU
rnacentral:lncRNA from 1 species